GACGAACCACACAAACGUUAUUCGGAAUUACUGGGCUUAAAGGGUGCGUAGGCGGCGCGGAAAGUAGGGUGUGAAAUCCCUCGGCUCAACCGAGGAAUUGCGCCCUAAACUACCGUGCUCGAGGGAGAUAGAGGUGAGCGGAACUUAGGGUGGAGCGGUGAAAUGCGUUGAUAUCCUAAGGAACACCGGUGGCGAAAGCGGCUCACUGGAUCUCUUCUGACGCUGAGGCACGAAAGCUAGGGUAGCGAACGGG
rnacentral:rRNA from 1 species